GGGCCCGCACAAGCGGUGGAGCAUGUGGUUUAAUUCGAUGAUACGCGAGGAACCUUACCAGGGCUUAAAUGUAAGUUGCAUUAGUUAGAGAUAGCUAUUUCUUCGGACCACUUACAAGGUGCUGCAUGGUUGUCGUCAGCUCGUGCCGUGAGGUGUCAGGUUAAGUCCUAUAACGAGCGCAACCCCUAUCGUUAGUUGCCAGCGAGUAAUGUCGGGAACUCUAACGAAACUGCCAGUGCAAACUGUGAGGAAGGUGGGGAUGACGUCAAAUCAUCACGGCCCUUACGUCCUGGGCCACACACGUGCUACAAUGGUAGGUACAGAGGGAAGCCACCCCGCGAGGGGGAGCGGAUCUACAAAACCUAUCUCAGUUCGGAUCGGAGUCUGCAACUCGACUCCGUGAAGCUGGAAUC
rnacentral:rRNA from 1 species